AAGUCGUAACAAGGUCUCCGUUGGUGAACCAGCGGAGGGAUCAUUACCGAGUUGCAAAGCUCCAAACCCUUGUGAACUCUCGGCAGUUGCUUCGGCAGGCGGGCCCAGGGCGGGCCUACAGUAACGCCUGCCGAAAGACCAAAACUCAGAUACCUAUGCCCUCUGAAGAAAAGACGAAUAGUUAAAACUUUCAACAACGGAUCUCUUGGUUCUG
rnacentral:misc_RNA from 1 species